rnacentral:rRNA from 1 species
CCUACGGGGUGCAGCAGUGGGGGAUAUUGCACAAUGGGGGAAACCCUGAUGCAGCGACGCCGCGUGGGCGAAGAAGUAUUUCGGUAUGUAAAGCCCUAUCAGCAGGGAAGAAAAAAUGACGCUACCUGCGAAAGAAGCACCGGCUAAAUACGUGCCAGCAGCCGCGGUAAUACGCAGGGUGCAAGCUUUAUCCGGAUUUACUGGGUGUAAAGGGAGCGCAGGGGGCACGGCAAGCCUGAUGUGAAAGCCCGCGGCCCAACCGCGGGACUGCAGUGGGAACUGCCGGGCUGGAGUGCCGGAGAGGUAGGCGGAAUUCCUGGUGUAGCGGUGAAAUGCGUAGAUAUUAGGAGGAACACCGGUGGCGAAGGCGGCCUACUGGACGGUGACUGACGCUGAGGCUCGAAAGCGUGGGGAGCAAACAGGAUUAGAUACCCUUGUAGUC